CCCUUAGAUGUUCUGGGCUGCACGCGUGCUACACUGAUUACUUCAACAAGUGUUUUAACUGGAGAGUUCGUGUAAUCCUGAAAUGUUAUCGUGAUGGGAGUAGAGUAUUGUAUUUGUUAAUCUUUAACGAGGACUUCCUAGUAAGUGUAGGUUUAUUUGUUUUUUUUUUUUACGUCCCUGCCCUUUGUACACACCGCCCGUCGCUCCUACCGAUUGAUUGAUCCGGUGAAUUACAUAGAAUUUUGCGUUUUACAUGACGGAAGAUGAAGUGUUUUAAACCUUAUCAUUUAGAGGAAGGAGAAGUCGUGACA
rnacentral:rRNA from 1 species